UGUGAUUUAUUUUCUAUUUAUUUGACACCGUUGGACUAGAUGACCCCCAAGGUUCUUUUCAAUUCUAAUAUCCUUUGAUAUUUAAUCUAUAGCCCCUUCUCUUUCCUUGAUAUAUCUUUCUUCUUUCUUUCCACAGUACCAGUGAAGCCUGGCCUAACUGAGAUCUGACCUGUGACCUCUUGGUACCAGGAUGGAAAGGAAAGAGUAGCUGUGAACCUUCCUUCAAACCUGGAGGCAAGUUCUUUACUUGGCUGUCUUCAUGUGCAGGACUGAGAUGCGCUGGC
rnacentral:lncRNA from 1 species